AGGGCACCACCAGGAGUGGAGCCUGCGGCUUAAUUUGACUCAACACGGGAAAUCUCACCAGGCCCGGACACUGGAAGGAUUGACAGAUUGAGAGCUCUUUCUCGAUUCGGUGGGUGGUGGUGCAUGGCCGUUCUUAGUUGGUGGAGUGAUUUGUCUGGUUAAUUCUGAUAACGAACGAGACUCUGUCCUGCUAAAAUAGUUCCCGCGUCCUUUGUUGCGCGGGAAAUUUUUUCUUAGAGGGACUGGCGGCGUCUAGCCGCCACGAGAUUGAGCAAUAACAGGUCUGUGAUGCCCUUAGAUGUUCUGGGCCCACACGCCGCGCUACACUUGAAGGGAUCAGCGGUGUCUUCCCUUCCCGAGAAGGGACGGGUAACCCCGCUGAACCCCCUUCGUGGUAGGGAUUCGGGGCUUGCAAUUAUUCCCCGUGAACCAGGAAUUCCCAGUAAGCGCAAGUCAUAAGCUUGCGUUGAUUACGUCCCUGCCCUUUGUACACACCGCCCGUCGCUACUACCGAUUGAA
rnacentral:rRNA from 1 species